AUGCAUCGAAUUUUUUUAACUAUUCCCUCCGUUACUAAAUACAUUGAUUUAAGGGAGGAGAGAAUUUGGAGGAGGGAGGCGACGGCACACCACCAGUUGGAUGAAAUGCAUCAGCGACGUCUUCUUCUCCCCUCUCUCCAGCAACCAACCGGUCCAUUCUGCCACCCAUCAAUCCUGACAAGUCACCGUCUUAACAUGGACAAGAGACAAUAUGAAGGGCAGCGUGACAUGCUGUACAACCAAACUUAUAAUCUUGACCAAGUUGCUUUCGCGUCCGAGGGAAUUAAAGAUGCUCAACAAACUAUGACUGCAAUGAAAGCUGCCAAUAAAGAGCUGAAAGGGAUGAUGAAGACUGUCAGGAUUGAAGAUAUAGAUAGCAUGCAAGACGAGAUGAUGGAUCUUAUGGAUGUGAGCAAUGAAAUACAAGAAACUCUUGGUAGAAGCUACAAUGUCCCAGAUGAUAUCGAUGAGGAGGAACUUAUGGGUGAGCUUGAUGCUUUCGAAGCUGAUAUGGACUUCGAAUCAAAUUCAGUCCCAUCGUACCUCCAACCAGACAAGGAGACAGAUCUUGAUUCCGAGCUUAACUUACCUGCUGCACCAAGUGGUCAUGCAGCAAUCCCGGCAAACCGGCAGCAGGAGGAUGAACUUGGACUGCCUACGGUGCCGCACGCAUCAAUUCGUACCUGA
rnacentral:rRNA from 1 species